GAACGCUGGCGGCGUGCCUAAUACAUGCAAGUCGAACGCACAGCGAAAGGUGCUUGCACCUUUCAAGUGAGUGGCGAACGGGUGAGUAACACGUGGAUAACCUACCUCAAGGUUGGGGAUAACAUUUGGAAACAGAUGCUAAUACCGAAUAAAACUUCAUAUUGCAUGAUAAGGAGUUAAAAGGCGCUACGGCGUCGCCUAGAGAUGGAUCCGCGGUGCAUUAGUUAGUUGGUGGGUAAAGGCCUACCAAGACAAUGAUGCAUAGCUGAGUUGAGAGACUGAUCGGCCACAUUGGGACUGAGACACGGCCCAAACUCCUACGGGAGGCUGCAGUAGGGAAUCUUCCACAAUGGGCGAAAGCCUGAUGGAGCAACGCCGCGUGUGUGAUGAAGGCUUUCGGGUCGUAAAGCACUGUUGUAUGGGAAGAACAGCUAGAGUAGGGAAUGACUUUAGUUUGACGGUACCAUACCAGAAAGGGACGGCUAAAUACGUG
rnacentral:rRNA from 1 species